GCCGCUGUAGCUCAACGGACAGAGCAGAUCGGUUCUAACGAUAAGGUUGCGGGUUCGAUUCCUGCCAGCGGCG
rnacentral:tRNA from 1 species